rnacentral:rRNA from 1 species
GAGUCGGACCUGCCCAGUGAAUAUAUUUUAACGGCCGCGGUACUCUGACCGUGCAAAGGUAGCAUAAUCAUUUGCCCUAUAAUUGAGGGCUAGUAUGAAUGGUUUGACGUGAACAAAGCUGUCUCUAUGUAAUUUUUUAGAAUUUGAUUUCUAGGUGAGGAAACCUAGAUUUAAUUGAAAGACAAGAAGACCCUAUUGAGCUUUAAAAGAGUAAAUUGAAAACAAUAUAUAAUUUUAAAUAUUAAUCUAUUUUAGAUUUUGGUUGGGGCGACUAUGGAACAAAUAAAGCUUCUUUAUUAAACAAUAAGACUUACAAGUGUUGAUCCAGAAAUUUUGAUCAAUGAAAUUAGUUACCAUAGGGAUAACAGCAUAAUUCUCUUUGAGAGUCCUUAUCGAAAAGAGAGUUUGUGACCUCGAUGUUGGACUAGAAUAUCCUAAAGAUGCAGCAGUCUUUAAGGGUUNGUC